rnacentral:rRNA from 1 species
UAGAACCGCUGGGCGGUAUGCCUAACACAUGCAAGUCGGUACGGGUAGUUUUUAACUCUAGUGGCAGACGGGUGAGUAACACGUGGGAACGUGCCCUUCGCUUCGGGAUAGCCUCGGGAAACUGGGAGUAAUACCGAAUACGCCGUAUUGGGAAAGAUUUAUCGGCGAAGGAUCGGCCCGCGUUGGAUUAGCUAGUUGGCGGUGUAAUGGACCACCAAGGCUACGAUCCAUAGCUGGUCUGAGAGGACGACCAGCCACACUGGGACUGAGACACGGCCCAGACUCCUACGGGAGGCAGCAGUGGGGAAUCUUGGACAAUGGGCGCAAGCCUGAUCCAGCCAUGCCGCGUGAGUGAAGAAGGCCUUAGGGUUGUAAAACUCUUUCGCCGGUGAAGAUAAUGACGGUAACCGGAGAAGAAGCCCCGGCUAACUUCGUG